rnacentral:misc_RNA from 1 species
GAUGAAGAACGCAGCGAAAUGCGAUAAGUAAUGUGAAUUGCAGAAUUCAGUGAAUCAUCGAAUCUUUGAACGCACAUUGCGCCCGCCAGUAUUCUGGCGGGCAUGCCUGUUCGAGCGUCAUUACAACCCUCAGGCCCCCGGGCCUGGCGUUGGGGAUCGGCGGAGCCCCCCGUGGGCACACGCCGUCCCCCAAAUACAGGGGCGGUCCCGCCGCAGCUUCCAUCGCGUAGUAGCUAACACCUCGCGACUGGAGAGCGGCGCGGCCACGCCGUAAAACACCCAACUCUUCUGAAGUUGACCUCGAAUCAGGUAGGAAUACCCGCUGAACUUAAGCAUAUCAAUAAGCGGAGGA